CACUCUUAGACCUUCCUCCACCAGGAAGCCAUCCGGAAUCGUCUCUGUAACCCCACAACACUUGAGAGUCUCUUCCCCACAGGUGACAGUGGCCUUUGCAGCACAAGUCCUUGUCUGAUGGACUGCACAGAUAAUGGUCUGUGAUCUGAGUGGGGAAUGGAUGUUCUGGAGUGUUCCAGUCCACUUCCCUAUGCACUAUGAGUCUGCUCCUUCACUACCCGUCUGCUUGGAGUGUACACAUUAGCCCUGAUCCCAGUGCCCAGCUUGGGGCUCAGGACAGGGAGGGUUGGCUUUUGGAGUACACACCACUGAAUUGAUCCUGUGCUUCAUGCAGAAAUCUCUGACCAUGGUGGAAGAGGUUCCUGGGCACAACACACGAGUCCUAUGAACCACACAGAGAGAUCCAUGCCAAUCACGGGGCCCAUCCCAUGGGCCACAGAGCAAAGCAAAGAAUGACCCAGAAAAGAUCCCAGACUCCAGCAAGAUCUAUGUAGAGAGAGAGAGACAGAGGAGACCCCUGACACAAUGCAAAUCCAGUUUAUGUUGCCAAGACACUAGAUGCGCUGGGACAGAUCACGUGAACGACAGCACUCUGAAACGGAGCUCAUGUGCAGACCAGCGCAGACCCUUCAUAAAUGACUGUGUCCACACUAAACAGCUCCCAGCAGGGCAGCUGGGCAGAGCAUUAAUGACGAGGAAGGCCUUGGUAUCUAACUCUGGAAAUCCUUAUUUGCAUUCAGGCUCUGAGGGAUAAAACGAGGAUGGGUGAGGACAGGGUAGAUAAGCCCACUGGGAGUCUAAUUCACACAGCUUUUCUCAUUCUCCCUGACAAGCUGGCUCCCUUGGUGAGCUGUUACCAAACUCCAGCCCUGAAGACUUUACGGUGCUCCAGAACCAGCACCCUUCGCACCACCACGGCCCGAGGCAGUCCUCCUCUGGAUGAGAACUCAACACAGCUCUCUUUUCUGAUCCUGCCAGCAGGGAAACUGGGAGCAUCCUUUCUCCUUCAUCUGGAGAGGGAGCUGAAGAAGGAUUCUUGGAGUGCCUGUUUUCUUCUUCCAAUUGAGGAUCGUUCAAAAUCAUCUGUAAGACACUGUGAGUGCCUCACAUUGCCAGAUCUUAACCUAUCCCAGACCCUGCAAACCUUGGCCACAUUUCUGUAGUGCCUACAGCUGUCUCAUAGGGCGCUACUCCAGAACGCGGCUGGGCAGGCUUUUGUAUGUUCAGUCAGUGGAUCCAUGGAGAUUAUCUCAGAGGACAGCUUCCUACAGCGUGGAGGAACAGAUACACGCCUCUGGCUUUGUUCUCCUUCUUUUUGCGUUGAGUUGACCUGUGUAUCAAUUUGAAAUCCCAAGAAAUCCCUCUUUUUUCCAUUUUGCUA